rnacentral:rRNA from 1 species
UAUCUCUGUAGAGUCUGCAUAUCAAUAAGCGGAGGAAAAGAAACUAACUAGGAUUCCCUCAGUAACGGCGAGUGAAGCGGGAAGAGCUCAAAUUCGAAAUCUUCAAGGUUUUACCUUGACGAAUUGUAGUUUAAAGAAGUGUUUUCUGUUGGAAUUUUGGUAAAAGUUCUUUGGAAAAAGACAUCAAAGAGGGUGAGAAUCCCGUAUUUGACCAUUAUUUCCAGCUGUGUGAUACACUCUUCAAAGAGUCGGAUUGUUUGGGAAUGCAGUCCAAAAUGGGUGGUAAAUUUCAUCUAAAGCUAAAUACUGGCGAGAGACCGAUAGCGAACAAGUACCGUGAGGGAAAGAUGAAAAGAACUUUGAAAAGAGAGUUAAACAGUACGUGAAAUUGUCAAAAGGGAAGCGUUUGACACCAGUGUUGUUUUCUCGAAAAUCAAUUAAAAAAGAUUGGAUUUUGUGUUGUAUUGACUUUAUCAGCUUUCUGCACUUUUUUCUUGUCUUUUUUAAUGCACUUUUCGUUUGACAAGUCAACAUCAAUUUCUUUUGUUGUAAAAGGGUCAUUGGAAGGUGGCUUUCUUUUCGGAGAAAGUGUUUAUAGCCUUUGGCUUCUGCAAUCGGAGAGAUUGAGGUCUGCAGCGUAGAUCCUUCGGGGUUAGAUACAUUUGUGCUAAGUUAUAGCCUUUCAUAGACAACUUGUUGACUAUGAUCAGUCAUGUAGCUUACUCGCUUAUGCUAUUUUACCUACGCUUAGGAUGUUGAACGCGCACAGAGUCUC